AUACGUAGGGGGCGAGCGUUGUCCGGAAUGAUUGGGCGUAAAGGGCGCGUAGGCGGCCCGGUAAGUCUGGAGUGAAAGUCCUGUUUUUAAGAUGGGAAUUGCUUUGGAUACUGUCGGGCUUGAGUGCAGGAGAGGUAAGUGGAAUUCCCAGUGUAGCUGUGAAAUGCGUAGAGAUUGGGAGGAACACCAGUGGCGAAGGCGACUUACUGGACUGUAACUGACGCUGAGGCGCGAAAGUGUGGGGAGCAAACAGGAUUAGAUACCCUGGUAGUCCACACUGUAAACGAUGAAUGCUAGGUGUAGGGGGUAUCGACCCCUUCUGUGCCGCAGUCAACACAAUAAGCAUUCCGCCUGGGGAGUACGGCCGCAAGGUUGAAACUUAAAGGAAUUGACGGGG
rnacentral:rRNA from 1 species